rnacentral:rRNA from 1 species
UGCAAGUCGANCGGCAGCACGGGGGCAACCCUGGUGGCGAGUGGCGAACGGGUGAGUAAUAUAUCGGAACGUGCCCUGGAGUGGGGGAUAACUAGUCGAAAGAUUAGCUAAUACCGCAUACGAUCUACGGAUGAAAGUGGGGGAUCGCAAGACCUCAUGCUCGUGGAGCGGCCGAUAUCUGAUUAGCUAGUUGGUGGGGUAAAGGCCUACCAAGGCAUCGAUCAGUAGCUGGUCUGAGAGGACGACCAGCCACACUGGGACUGAGACACGGCCCAGACUCCUACGGGAGGCAGCAGUGGGGAAUUUUGGACAAUGGGCGCAAGCCUGAUCCAGCAAUGCCGCGUGAGUGAAGAAGGCCUUCGGGUUGUAAAGCUCUUUUGUCAGGGAAGAAACGGUGGAGGUUAAUACCUUCUGCUAAUGACGGUACCUGAAGAAUAAGCACCGGCUAACUACGUGCCAGCAGCCGCGGUAAUACGUAGGGUGCAAGCGUUAAUCGGAAUUACUGGGCGUAAAGCGUGCGCAGGCGGUUGUGCAAGACAGAUGUGAAAUCCCCGGGCUCAACCUGGGAAUUGCAUUUGUGACUGUACGGCUAGAGUGUGUCAGAGGGGGGUAGAAUUCCACGUGUAGCAGUGAAAUGCGUAGAGAUGUGGAGGAAUACCGAUGGCGAAGGCAGCCCCCUGNGAUAACACUGACGCUCAUGCACGAAAGCGUGGGGAGCAAACAGGAUUAGAUACCCUGNUAGUCCACGCCCUAAACGAUGUCUACUAGUUGUCGGGUCUUUAUUGACUUGGUAACGCAGCUAACGCGUGAAGUANACCGCCUGGGGAGUACGGUCGCAAGAUUAAAACUCAAAGGAAUUGACGGGGACCCGCACAAGCGGUGGAUGAUGUGGAUUAAUUCGAUGCAACGCGAAAAANCNUUACCUACCCUUGA